GUCAACACGCGCCCCUCCUGCGAGUGAAACCCGGAGGGAGCCCUCCCAGCUCGGGGCAGGGCGAGUGGAUCCCCUCUUCUUCCUCGUUCUCCUCCUCCUCCUCCUCCUCCUCUGCCUCCCUCUGCCUCUUCCUCUCCUCCUCCUCCUCCUCCCCUGCUUUCCUCCUCUGCCUCUCGGCCCGGCAGCCGCGUUCCUGCACCAGCCGCGGGGAGAUCGCACCAAGCCUGCGGGCGGCAGCCGGCCGGCCGAGACUCUCUCUGCGCGCCCCGCUUGGCCGCGGCUCUGCUGCCUGCUGCUCCUGCUCCCGCGGCCGGGCAGCGCCACCUGGACCCGCGCAGGAAGCUGUGCCUGUUGGAUGGGGCCAGCCUGGGUCUACGUGAAAGCGUACACAAGACUUUUUCAAGUGCUACUGUCCAGCUACACCAGUGUUUCAGUCCAGAACCUGGCUUCACCAUUCCAUACUGAAGGCUGCAUCUGACUCUGUUUGGACCACUCAAGCUGUGACAGACGUCUUGGGUCUACGGUUGCUGUUUAAUAGAACGAAAUGGCUGGACAGAAGUUUGUAUUAUGUUUUUCUUUUCAGGACAUUGUGUGUUGUGGAGGACUUUCUCUCUGAACUGUGCUAUUUGAGAGAACCUUGGACUGACACCUGAAACCUUAGGAACCGUGAACAAUCCAGAAAGUACCCUCUACGAAUUAAAUUAAAGAAGUCACAGCUAAUGCUAGAAUCUUGACAUUUUUGGCUAAGUUGGGGUUUCUUAAUUGCACUUGGAAUUCUAAUUCUCUACUGUUUUAGGAAAGAAAUACCUUGUGUGUUUGGAAGAAAGAAGAGCCAUCGGUUCAUGAUGUGUGUCUUUUGUGAUUGUAAUUGCAUCACUGAUUGUUGUUGCUGUUAUCACUGUGUUAACUGUUGGCCUUAUCAUAGUUAAUAUUCCUUGCUUAGAGAAAGAUGGGGAUAUUACUGUUGCUAUUGUGUGGCCUACUUCUCAAUCCAAUCCUGACACUUCCAACGGAUUCCAAAACGUGAUGUAAAUGCAACUCAAAAGUUAAAGGUAAGAUACCAAUUUCUCGAGUUUUCAGUCAACAAUUAGUUAAUAGUUGGAGGAAACAGUGGCCUCCUCAGAGUAUAUAUUAAUAUAUACUGCUACUCAGGGCUUUUUUUCUCAUAGAACGCUCAGAACGGAGUUCCGGCACCUUUUGGAUGGAACCUUGUAGGGUAGGCAAGGCGGGUUGUAUGACGUGUGUGAGUUCCGGCACUUUUUUUUUUUUUUUAGAAAAAAAGCACUCCUGCUAUUAGAUUGCAUCCAUAGCAUGAAGUGAUUAUUGCUACCAGCAGUAAAUUGAAGCAGCAGGUUAAGGUCUGCAUUUGGAUGAAGGGUAGAGAUCACAAUAAAUUAAAAAUGCUUUGCAAGCCACUCCUGUUCCUUCUGCCAUACCUGCUACUGAUGUUAUAGAGGAAACUUAACCACUGGAGACGGCUGGUGUGGAAAUACUGUAGUCAAUGUCACCAUGACUCCAGACACCUUUAAUAAGAUUAAUGUUCAAAGUGUCACCAGAAGUUUGUUUCAAUCAUCCUAGAAUAAAUCUUUGUAUGAGGCUUAUCUGAAUUUGACUAGAGAUGAUCUGCAACGUCAGUGGUUCCAUGCUUUGGAGGUUGUGAACAAUGCCAGGAUGCAGGAUCAGAAAGGCACAACGGUGUUGCUAAUACCUAGUGCUGGAAAUAACAUUCAUUAUUGUUGUGAAAACAAAUGUUUCCAAUAUAUGAACACGAGAAUUGGAUGGUGUUACCUUGCUAAGUUGAUGCCGGUAAUGGAGGUGCAGGAUGAGACACGUGUAUUCAGACCAGAACAUCCCAGGUAUUUGUUAAAUAGAAGAAGAAGAAAAAGAUAACUUGUUUGAAGUUGAGGACAGAUGGUGGACUUUAGCCCCUUCAUUUACAGGAUGAGGAUGGGAAAUGAUGAAAAGAAUAAAUAAUUACACCAAUAUUAUGGGUGAAAUAAUAAACAUAAUUCAAAGUGAUAUAAUGUUGCUAAGUGAAGAAUUAAAAAUAACAAUUUUAACAAUCUUAACCUUGUUAAGACAACAGUUAGAAAUAGAGAGUUUAGCAAUUGCUGUGAGUGGACUAUGUGCAGAGCGAAUUGAUUAUAGUUGUUGCACUUGGAUACAUAAUACUAGUGAAGAAGUACCUGAUUAUUCUGAACUAAUCGAGAAACAUCAUGAACAAGUAAAUAAAUUACAAGAAACGGCUGGGGCCAUAAGGACGGAUGGUUGGAAUCCCUUGAAAGGACUCAGUGAGUGGAUCCCUAACUUGGCCGGAUGGGUACAACAAUUAAUAAUGUUGAGAACUUUAAUAUUGAUAACUGGAAUGAUGGUUUGUUGUUGUAUGCAGCUUGGACCAAUGAUGAUGAUUUGUUGUAAAGGUAGCCUGGUUGGAUGAGAGUGAAGAGGUUGGAAGAAUGUAGCAACAAAUUGAGAAAUGUGAGUAUAAAAAUCAAUAUUGUUUGUGAAAAGAAAAAGGAGGGAUUGUGGGGAAAAGGGUCUAUUGUUUUUACAGAAAUUGCAGAAGACAUGCUGGCCUGUGAAGCAAACACAUUGUCUAUAUUUUAAUCUGAUGAGCAAAGUUGAAGCUUGAGAGUUUUAUCUAGGAAGGUCUCUGCUUCACUGAAAACUGGUCUUAACCAUAAUUUACUGAUACGAUAGCAACUUUAGAGACAACACCUAGGAACUAACAGUCAUAAAAGAUAAUUUGUAAACAAGGGCAGGGGGCAAUCAAAUUAGAGGAGUGGGGAUGUAAUCAGGGGUGGAGAUAAUGUAUUCCCUUUAGGAGCUGUGGAGAGGUUGUGAUGACAUAAUUACAGCAUGAUUACUAAGCCAAUGAGGAGAAGUGGGAGGUAAAUUUAUAACAGCAAUGGAGAAUAUAAAGAAUGAAUAUUGAAGAUUUAAGGUGUGUCCACUGUGUGCUUGCAUGCACAAGGAGCACCCCCUUUGCAAAGGACUACAAAUAAAUUACCAUUGUUUCUCUUGGAA